ACGCUCGACACCUACGGGAGCAGCAGUUGGGAAUAUUGGACAAUGGAGGAAACUCUGAUCCAGUGACGCCGCGUGAAGGAAGAAGGUCUUCGGAUUGUAAACUUAUUUUGUCAGGGAAGAAAAAUGACUGUACCUGAAGAAAAAGCACCGGCUAACUACGUGCUAGCAGCCGCGGUAAUCUGAGCGGGCUGGCAAGGC
rnacentral:rRNA from 1 species